rnacentral:lncRNA from 1 species
UAGAGACUCCGGCAACUUUGACCUUUUCACGCGGACCCCACACUAGCAACUCCCCAGAGUGCUUUUGCCAGGGACGAACUGGAAUUUGGAUCCGAGGCUUGUAGGACGCAGUAGCCGAGUUCUAGGGAAACAAAAGUCUGAAGAUGAAUUUCCCACGUGCGCUUGCUGGUUUCUCGAGCUGGCUCUUCAAACCUGAACUUGCCGAGGACUCUCCGGAUAAUGACUCUCCGGAUAAUGACACUGUUAACCCAUGGCGUGAGCUGCUGCAGAAGAUAAAUGUGGCCGAUCUCCCCGAUUCAUCCUUUUCGAGCGAUUUUAGAGCCAGAGGUGGGUUACCUUCCUAUGAUACCCCUGAUGCGCCACAAACCCGAGAAGACUAUUGCCACUGGUUGGUUGCAAACAGGAGCUAGAUUGUAAGAUCCCAACGCUGACAACAUCACAGUGCCUUGAACCUAGGACGCAGGGGAGUAAGGCAUGGACUGUGCUCAAUGAAGGCUUCCUGCUGGCUGGCAUUCCUAGUGCUAGAAAGUGCUGUGCAGAUUACUGGUGUCCUUGUUUCCACUCAGCUAUGGACUCUAAAUGUUAAUGUCAUCAGCACUACAGGCAGCUAGCUGUAGGGGGUUGGGUUGGUCUGGUGCUGCUUGUAGUCAAAAGCUAAAUUCUGUUUCCCAAGAUCCGAUUGCUCCAAGGUGAGCCGAUCCUCACGUACUCCAGCCUUUCUUAUAAACCUUACUCCCCAGUUUGAAACUAUCGGUUAAAUAAAACUGGUGAUAACCAAUUACUGGC